rnacentral:rRNA from 1 species
AUGGACGCUGACGGCGUGCCUAAUACAUGCAAGUCGAGCGCACGGACGAGAAGCUUGCUUCUCUGAUGUUAGCGGCGGACGGGUGAGUAACACGUGGAUAACCUACCUAUAAGACUGGGAUAACUUCGGGAAACCGGAGCUAAUACCGGAUAAUAUUUUGAACCGCAUGGUUCAAAAGUGAAAGACGGUCUUGCUGUCACUUAUAGAUGGAUCCGCGCUGCAUUAGCUAGUUGGUAAGGUAACGGCUUACCAAGGCAACGAUGCAUAGCCGACCUGAGAGGGUGAUCGGCCACACUGGAACUGAGACACGGUCCAGACUCCUACGGGAGGCAGCAGUAGGGAAUCUUCCGCAAUGGGCGAAAGCCUGACGGAGCAACGCCGCGUGAGUGAUGAAGGUCUUCGGAUCGUAAAACUCUGUUAUUAGGGAAGAACAUAUGUGUAAGUAACUGUGCACAUCUUGACGGUACCUAAUCAGAAAGCCACGGCUAACUACGUG